UACGUAGGGUGCAAGCGUUGUCCGGAAUCAUUGGGCGUAAAGCGCGCGUAGGCGGCCCGAUAAGUCCGCUGUAAAAGUCAACGGCUCAACUGUUGAAAGCCGGUGGAUACUGUCGGGCUAGAGUACGGAAGAGGCAAGUGGAAUUCCUGGUGUAGCGGUGGAAUGCGCAGAUAUCAGGAGAAACACCUAUAGCGAAGGCAGCUUGCUGGGACGUUACUGACGCUAAGGCGCGAAAGCGUGGGGAGCGAACAGG
rnacentral:rRNA from 1 species